rnacentral:lncRNA from 1 species
GAGAUCAUCUCAAAUAGUCUUGUCUUGUCAGUGCUCAGCUAGCGAUAUUUCAAUGUUUGAUAGGGAGCGAUAUGUGAUGAUGCUUUUCUUCGAAUUUUAACAAGUUCGAGUAAGCCGGACUAGCUUAAAGUUAGUUUAAACAUCAACAUAGAUGUGUGGUUAUAUUGGCAUUUGUAAGGGGUGACAUAGUAAAAUUUUUGUCUAA